AGAGUUUGAUCAUGGCUCAGAACGAACGCUGGCGGCGUGCUUAACACAUGCAAGUCGAACGAGAAAGUUUUCUUCGGAAAACGAGUAGAGUGGCGCACGGGUGAGUAACGCGUAGGUAAUCUACCCUUACAUUUGGGAUAACAUUGGGAAACUGGUGCUAAUACCGAAUGGUCUUCUUAGCUGUUGGGCAAAGAAGUAAAGGUGGCCUCUUCAUGAAAGCUACCGUGUAGGGAUGAGCCUGCGUACCAUUAGCUAGUAGGUGGGGUAACGGCCCACCUAGGCGACGAUGGUUAGCGGGUCUGAGAGGAUGAUCCGCCACACUGGAACUGGAACACGGACCAGACUCCUACGGGAGGCAGCAGUGAGGAAUAUUGCGCAAUGGGGGAAACCCUGACGCAGCGACGCCGCGUGAGUGAGGAAGGUUUUCGGAUCGUAAAGCUCUGUCAGAAGGGAAGAAGUGUUGCAUGGUUAAUACCCAUGCAAUUUGACGGACCUUCAGAGGAGGCACCGGCUAACUCCGUGCCAGCAGCCGCGGUAAUACGGAGGGUGCAAGCGUUGUUCGGAAUUACUGGGCGUAAAGGGCGCGUAGGCGGCCUGAUAAGUCAGAUGUGAAAGUCCACGGCUCAACCGUGGAAGUGCAUUUGAAACUGUCAGGCUUGAGUAUCGGAGGGGAGUGUGGAACUCCCGGUGUAGAGGUGAAAUUCGUAGAGAUCGGGAGGAACACCGGUGGCGAAGGCGACACUCUGGACGAAUACUGACGCUGAGGCGCGAAAGCGUGGGGAGCAAACAGGAUUAGAUACCCUGGUAGUCCACGCCGUAAACGAUGUGAACUAGGGAUAGGGGGUGUUGAUCCCUCCUGUCCCGGAGCUAACGCAUUAAGUUCACCGCCUGGGGAGUACGGUCGCAAGAUUAAACUCAA
rnacentral:rRNA from 1 species